CACGGAGGGCGGGCAGACUGCGGCGGGCUGCCCCCCCCCCCACCCGUUCCGCUCCGUUCCGUUCCGCAGGCGGCUGGGAGGCUGCAGGGCUAGGAGAAGACCCCCGGCCAGGCGCACCGGGGGGGAUUUCUCCCAAUUCCCUCCGCAGGGCGCCGGGCCGGGGAGCGCCGCAGCCAGAUAAACUUCCUGCGUGCAGCGAGAGGGAGAGGGAAGGGGGGGCCACCGCCUUCCUCCGGGCGCACGUCAGCGGGGCGAGCGCCGGGCUGGCAGCGCCAGGCGACCCGGCCGCUGAGUGCCCCGGCUCCAGAGCUGCCGCCCCGCGGGCAGCCGACGCUCCGCAGGCAGCAGCUGCCCGGCUCUCUCUGCCGCUCUGUGCGUGCUCCGGCCGGCCGAAGAGGAGGAAGCGCGGGGAGGAAAAAGCAGCAGCUCCCGGCCGCUGCCGCCCGCCCUGGUCGCAGCCUGAGGCCACCGCCCAGCGUAGGGGACGCAUUGCCCCCCACGAGGCGCCCGACUCCUGAUCCACCCCAAAGUUGGGCACGGCGCGAUGCCGAGCGGGGCAGCACUGUCAGGCGGUGCCCGACCUUGGGGGUGCGUGUGGAAAUGAACCAGCUGGUGCAGAGGUAGAGUGGUAACACGCGAAAUGUCUUGAAACAGCUAAAGAAUGAGGCCCGGCAUUCGCACACACGUAUGGUGUGUGGUGAUGGGACUUGGAUACAGAAGGCAAGCAGAAAUAAUCAAUCUCCAACUGCAAAGGAAAACAAACCUGCCUCUGAUAGCAUAUCAUCCGAGAGUUCUGUCUGCAGUGCCUUUAUAAGCAAGUUUAUUUUCACCUCUUACUUAAGUGAGCCUGUCUCUGACUGAACAAUUGCCAAAUCUGCUUAAUGUGCAGAUUUAUAUAGGGCAGUUACUGAUCCAGCCAGAGAGGAAAGGACUGUUCUGGCCUCUCCUGUGCAACUGGGAACGCUGUUUUGAGAACAUACAGAGAGACAGAUGAGCAUACCGUAACCCAGGAGCAAUAUUAAACUGAUCUGAAAAUGGGAAGUACUGUAUAAGUACCAUGCAUUGUUACUCUGUGAUUGGACUGGGAAAUUGUCAUGUUACUGAAUCCCAUGAAAAGCAGUGACAGCAGUCACCAGCAUACCCCCCCCCAACUCUCCAUCUCCAGAUUAAAUGUGGCCAGCCCAGUGGUGCAAUGUCUACAGUCAAAUAAUGCAGUGGGCAAAAAUUCACCAAGCCUAUGCAGAAAGUAGACAGCAAAAGUAGGACAAUAUAACAGUAGCAUUACAACAAAGCAAUAGUUCUAGAAGGUGAUUAUGAAACAACAGCAUUCUGCGUCUUAGACCAUGCCAGCAUUUAAACCUGGAAACCUGCUGACCCAGCAGAAUAAUUCAGAGAACCAACAGGUGUCAAUCAGUGAUCUGCCUCCUGCUGAGCUAAAACUGCUCCAACAGCCUCAUUCAGUGGUCCACAGUUUCUUUAAUAGCUAGAAGAGUUGCAGCUUGGGGUCCCACAAAGAAUCAAGCAAUUUUUACACCUCUGCUGUCCAGUCUGCCUAUUUAGAGUAACUCCAGUGUUGAGAAGAAUAUGAACAAGCAACUCCCUCAUUGCUGUGGGUUACCCAUAACCAAAAGGGGUAAGAAAUGAGCAGUUUGAUUUCUGUGGAACAGUCACUGCCAUCUAUUGCUACUGCUGUAAACAAGACUUCCAUUUAGUGCCAGCUACAACAAAUUUUGUUUCUUUGCUUUUUAAAAUGGAGCACAGAUCACUGGGAAAACCUCCAAUUUAACUCUCAUCA